rfam:Candidatus Burkholderia kirkii TZHbot1, WGS project CAFE01000000 data, contig: bkir_c193
CCUGAUGACCAUAGCGAGUCGGUCCCACCCCUUCCCAUCCCGAACAGGACCGUGAAACGACUCUACGCUGAUGAUAGUGCGGAUCGCCCGUGUGAAAGUAGGUAAUCGUCAGGC